GGAAGUUCUGUCUGCUCUCACUGCGUUGCAUUGCCAUGAUAAAGACGGACCAGGAAAAGUGAUUGCUAUCAUUUACUUUGUGUGUGAGUUUUCCUCAUCAGGAUGUGUGUUAGGAAAGAGUGUUCUACAUUUUAAACAUUGUGAAUUUUCGUGAUCUAUGAAGCAGACUUUCAGAUGUUUCAGAUGGUGCAGGGCAUGGUCGCUCAGUGGUUAACACUACAGCCCCACCACGCCAGGAACCCGAUUCGAU